AGGUUAUUGAUAUAAGGAAAAUCUUGUGAGACGUGCGCGCAUGCGUAUGAUAUAAACAACAAACGCGAUGUGCCGGGAGCUCUGUGUGAUAUCAACACAGUGUGCUGUCAGUUGAAAGAUGGAAGUCCCAAGACUGAAGAAACGACAUUGGCGCUUCUGUGAACAUUGCAACACUGAACUGUGUCAUACACAGUAUUUUGACCACAGAAAGCGCUAUUUCAAAAAUGGAGUUUGGGAGAAAAAAUCCAAAAGGACUACGUCAGGUCAGAUAACGUACAGAGCCUGCUGCUAUCCAGUCAUGAACCCGCUGUGAGUGAUGUCCUGUCAUGUGUAAAGACCCGGAGGAUAACUUUACUGGAGUUAGAGAGAUUGGUGAAAGUGAAAAGCAAUCCGAGGACCCAGAAAAAAAGUGAUUGAAGAAUUUGAAGAAAUGCACCCAGCGAAUUGCAGUUAAGACAACGACGAAACAGCAGAUGACCAAAGCAUUCAUCUUUUCCUGGACAUCUCCUGUUGUGUGGAUGACUAUGUGGAUGAAGAGGGGGAAAUCCUUGCUGAGGAGCAGAGUGAAGCCUAUCCUCACAUACAAGAUGGGGAGGAGCAUGGAAGUGAUCAGUCCAGAAGUGAAAAAAACAGAACACUUGUUGAUUAAACUUUUGGCCAUGAUGAAAUUGACUGGUAUCCUCCGUGACGACUUCUUACAGUAUGUGGUUUGUCCAAAAUGUAUGACAGUGUACAUGCUUACUGAAACCUAUGAGCGCCGACGGUAUGGUACAAAGGUUUGCAGGACUUGUGGUCACAUCCCGUUCUACAAUCACCCACAGCAGAGGUCUGCAUUAAGGAAGAAAUAUGGCUCUGCCUUGCUAAGAUAGGCUACAUAUUUGAGCAGUGAAGAGAAUGUCCAUCCAAUACGUUCUUACUGAUACAAGAGUGUUGUGCAGUCUCUGGGAGGACUUGUUAAAAGACUUGGAUUUGAAGAGAAAUUAGAUGAAAGGCGAAAGCGGGAACUGCCAAAGGGUGUGUUAGGAGAUGUAAAUGAUGGACAAGUAUGGCAGGAUUACCAGUAUGUGAAUUCAAUAAACUGUAGUCAUGCCACUAUGCACAGUAUUUGAGCUGUGAUGUAAUUGCACAAGUUACCUUGCUUCAUUCCCAUCCGGACAGACAUUUUGUUGUUUGACAUGUUGUUUGAUGGCAUUUGCAUAGAAUGCACAAAUUGAGCCUGAUUAAAACUCUGUUAAAACAAUUAAAAUUGUUGAAAUAAAUAGUUUGGUGUAUCUUUUUUACCUAACAUUGGUUAUUGCUAAUUACAUACAGAGUAAUUAAUAUACACUGUUAGCCUGGAGAAAUUGAAUCUACUUAAAGGGAUAGUUUAAAAAUUAUUAGGAAAAAAUAUUUUGAAAGUAUUGUGAUAAAUGGUGAAGAAAAGUUUGAUAAAUGAUUGUCAUUAAACUUAAGGUUGAU